rnacentral:lncRNA from 1 species
UCACUUGAGCACAAUCCAAGAUGAAAGUUUCUGGGUUGUGUCCCCUUCGCUUCCUCUCACCCUCGCUCCCCCGCGGAGCCAAGGAGCCAGCAAUUGUGCAAGAGGAGACCGGCGCACAGGGCGCGUAUCACGGAGCGCAUGGGCCAGCAAGCCGAACGCCUCCAGCGCGGCCGGGACGGAGGAGCGGCUCUGGGGAAGACGCCGAGGCUGCGCCCGAGUCUGAACGAAGCUGCCUCCAGCCACAUGAAGUCAGUAGGGCUGUUCUGAGGGGCCCCGAGAUUUGAUGACUGUUUUUUAGGUUGCGGAACCUACUCCGAGAGAGCAAACACUUUGGACGAAGUGAUUCAUAUUGAUAGAUACAUUUGUUGGGAGGUGGCUUUUUUCAUUCUCAACAGAAAACAAAGAAAUAAAUUAAGUCUUCCCCUGAC